rnacentral:lncRNA from 1 species
GCCUGUGCUGAAGACCUGUUUCCUAGUCCCUUUACACACUGGAGACUUGUUCCUUACUCUUCUGCCUGGAGGAAAAUCCCUGGACCUGGGGCAGAGAGUACAGCGUGUGCACGCGUGCAGACAUUCCUCACUUCCUACUGCAAAGCCCACCAAGAAGUGAGAUGAUCCACUCUUCUAGUAACGGAGGCACCAACCACAUGAGGCUUAUUCUAAGCAUGGC